rnacentral:rRNA from 1 species
AGAUGGCGACCGGCGCACGGGUGAGUAACACGUAUCCAACCUGCCGAUAACCCGGGGAUAGCCUUUCGAAAGAAAGAUUAAUACCCGAUGGCAUAAUUAGACCGCAUGGUCUUAUUAUUAAAGAAUUUCGGUUAUCGAUGGGGAUGCGUUCCAUUAGGCAGUUGGUGAGGUAACGGCUCACCAAACCUUCGAUGGAUAGGGGUUCUGAGAGGAAGGUCCCCCACAUUGGAACUGAGACACGGUCCAA